GAAUGGAUGAAAAUGCAGACCUCGCCGCCACCACUUUUUUGACCUCCACCUACCAUGCUACUAAACCUCAAUCCUAAUUCCCAACUCAACAACUCGACGAUGAUGUCCGAUGAUUCCUUGGCUCGCCACUGCGCUUUCUUCUCUGCCUCCAUGAGCGCUCCAUCCUUCCCCACCUCUAUGAGCAUUCAUCUCGGCGCCAUAUUGGUUCAUAUUCAGAAAUGGUUUCAAGAAUGAGCUGACCCUUAUGCUGAAGGCUCAACAUCCUAACUUGAUUCAGUUUGUUGGAGCUGUCACUCAAAAUAUACCCAUGAUGAUUGUUUCUGAAUCCCUUCCCAAAGGCGACUUUGGAAGCUAUCUUAGAAAGCAACGGCGUCUAAAUAUUAUCAAAGCUCUUUGGUUUGCACUAGACAUUGCUAGGCAUGUUAUAUCCGCUCUUCCCUGCCAAGUUACUAUUAUAAUUGUAAAUUUUCUGUUGUAAUCCAUGAAUAGUUAUUGCUAGCUAUUGUGAUCCUCCUCAAUUAUUUAUGACACUGCAAAGGAAGUAGAUGCCAAA